UCUCAUUAGCCAUCCUUGUCAAUUUCAAAUUCAUCCAAUUAAAAAUCAAAUAAAAGUAAAGAUAUUUAUUAAUGCAAGAUCCACAAAAUGGAAAUAUCUUGAUUCCCCUCUUAGUGAAUGGAUGACAGCUAGCGGUGACCCUUCCAUCCAUACACGUCCCCACACAGCUGGCUCCCAACGGUCAUAAAAAAAAGAAAAGGAAAAGGAAACGAAUAGGAAAGGGGACCACACACCACACACCACACACCAUCUCCCUAACGGUAAAAGAAAGAAAAGAGGAUAGCUCUUCAAUCUCUCACUUUCUACAAAAAUAAAAAUAAAAAGAGUAGUGACCAUGUUACCUCUCUCCUCAUAUAACACUCAAUCUGCUCAUUAAAUAGAAGAGAGAAAAAAAGAUAUAUAAGUGACACUCCACUCACUCUCUCCUUGGAAAAAAAACAAAAGAAGGAAAAGAAAAAGAAAAUAAAAGACAGAAAAGUGUGAGAUUCAGAAGAAAAAGAAGAAGAAGGUUCCGCUCCCUUCAUCACCCUUCGGCGCACACACUCUCCGCCGAUAACUUCCGGUGACCUCUCCACUACCACCGUCGCACCCUCAUCCGCACGCUCUUCACCGUCCAACAAAUACUCCCUCUGCCGAAAUCCCUAGACGCUCCCAACAUCAUCUCCGACCUCCUUUUUCCAUCACCGAACCAAACCGUGCCGACGUCCAAACAAUUUCCGUUAUUUCCCUCUGCCUCCGAGACUCACAAACCG
rnacentral:lncRNA from 1 species